UACGGAGGGUGCGAGCGUUAAUCGGAAUAACUGGGCGUAAAGGGCACGCAGGCGGGCUUUUAAGUCAGGUGUGAAAUCCCCGGGCUUAACCUGGGAAUAGCAUUUGAGACUGGGAGACUAGAGUACAUGAGGGAGGGGUAGAAUUCCACGUGUAGCGGUGAAAUGCGUAGAGAUGGGGAGGAAUACCGAAGGCGAAGGCGGCCCCUUGGGAAUGUACUGACGCUCAUGUGCGAAAGCGUGGGGAGCAAACAGG
rnacentral:rRNA from 1 species